rnacentral:rRNA from 1 species
AUACGAAGGGGGCAAGCGUUGUUCGGAAUAACUGGGCGUAAAGCGCACGUAGGCGGAAUGUUAAGUUAGAGGUGAAAUCCCAGGGCUCAACCCUGGAACGGCCUUUAAUACUGGCAAUCUAGAGACCGAGAGAGGUGAGUGGAAUUCCGAGUGUAGAGGUGAAAUUCGUAGAUAUUCGGAGGAACACCAGUGGCGAAGGCGGCUCACUGGCUCGGUUCUGACGCUGAGGUGCGAAAGCGUGGGGAGCAAACGGGAUUAGAAACCCUAGUAGUCC